UUUGAUCCUUGGCUCCAGGACGAACCGCUGGGCGGCGUGCCUUACCACAUGCAAGUCGAGCGGAGUUACACACCGGAAAUCCCUUCCGGGGGUGGAAGGAGUAUAACUUAGCGGCGGACGGGUGAGUAACGCGUGAGCAACCUUUCCUUCACUGGGGAAUAACACAUUGAAAGAUGUGCUAAUACCGCAUGAAACCAUAGAGUCGCAUGGCUUAAUGGUCAAAGAUUUAUCGGUGAGGGGUGGGCUCGCGUCCCAUUAGCUAGUUGGUGAGAUAACAGCUUACCAAGGCAACGAUGGGUAGCCGACCUGAGAGGGUGAUCGGCCACACUGGGACUGAGACACGGCCCAGACUCCUACGGGAGGCAGCAGUGGGGAAUAUUGGGCAAUGGGGGAAACCCUGACCCAGCAACGCCGCGUGAAGGAAGAAGGUUUUCGGAUCGUAAACUUCUGUCCUCAGUGAAGAGUAGAAGACGGUAACUGAGGAGGAAGCCCCGGCUAACUACGUGCCAGCAGCCGCGGUAAUACGUAGGGGGCAAGCGUUGUCCGGAAUGAUUGGGCGUAAAGGGCGCGUAGGCGGCCUGUUAAGUCUGGAGUGAAAGUCCCGCUUUCAAGGUGGGAAUUGCUUUGGAAACUGAUGGGCUAGAGUGCAGGAGAGGUUAGUGGAAUUCCCGGUGUAGCGGUGAAAUGCGUAGAGAUCGGGAGGAACACCAGUGGCGAAGGCGACUAACUGGACUGUAACUGACGCUGAGGCGCGAAAGUGUGGGGAGCAAACAGGAUUAGAUACCCUGGUAGUCCACACUGUAAACGAUGAAUGCUAGGUGUAGGAGGUAUCGACCCCUUCUGUGCCGGAGUAA
rnacentral:rRNA from 1 species